UACAGAGGUCCCAAGCGUUGUUCGGAUUCACUGGGCGUAAAGGGUGCGUAGGUGGCGAGGUAAGUCGGAUGUGAAAUCUCCGAGCUCAACUCGGAAAUGGCAUUGGAAACUACCUUGCUCGAGGGUUGGAGGGGGGACUGGAAUACUUGGUGUAGCAGUGAAAUGCGUAGAUAUCAAGUGGAACACCAGUGGCGAAGGCGAGUCCCUGGACAACUCCUGACACUGAGGCACGAAAGCUAGGGGAGCAAACAGG
rnacentral:rRNA from 1 species